CUUCUCCACCCUCGUGAGCCAGACACGGGGCAGCAGGGAAAGGUGCUGCUCGUCGAGACUGACAUGAGUUUACGACGAAGUUACACAACUGUCUCGAGGACGUCCGUUGAUAACGAGCGCCGGUUUCGCUCGGGACUCUGAAUUGGCGGGUUUGCCGGUAGGGCGCAAUGGAACCGCUGAGCAAAGAUGCGAAGGCUAACCCGUCCGCCACGGCUAAUCUUUUCUCCAGAGUUUUCUUCUGCUGGCUAAAUCCUUUGUUUCGAAUUGGGUACAAGCGGAAGCUGGAGGAGGAUGACAUGUACAAAGUCCUACCUGAGGAUGGGUCAGAGAGACUGGGAGAGCAACUGCAAAGGUAUUGGGAUCAUGAAGUACAGAAGGCAGCCAAAGAGCUUCGUGACCCCAGCCUUUCAAAGGUUAUUAUAAAAUGCUACUGGAAAUCGUAUGCUGUUCUUGGAAUCUUCACCUUAAUAGAGGAGGUCAUCAAAGUGGUCCAGCCUGUUUUCCUGGGAAAGUUGAUACAGUAUUUUGAGAAUUACAACCCCAACAACACGGAGGCCCUUAAUGUAGCUUUUGGCUAUGCUGCAGGCAUCUCCAUGUCCUCCAUAGGACUAGCACUUCUCCACCACCUUUAUUUCUACCAUGUGCAAAGAAGUGGCAUGAAGAUCCGGGUAGCUAUGUGUCAUAUGAUUUACAAGAAGGCGCUCUGCCUCAGCAGUACAGCAAUGGGACAAACAACCACUGGACAGAUUGUCAACCUUUUAUCCAAUGAUGUCAACAGGUUUGAUGAGGUUACCAUUUUCCUGCACUUCCUGUGGGUGGGCCCGCUGCAAGCAGGCGCAGUAAUUGGGCUGCUGUGGUAUGAGAUUGGUCCCUCAUGCCUUGCUGGCAUGGCUGUCCUCAUGUUCCUGAUGCCUUUGCAGACCUUGUUUGGUCGUCUUUUCUCUAGUUUCAGGAGCAAAACUGCAGCGUUUACAGACAGCAGAAUCCGUACCAUGAAUGAGGUGGUGUCUGGAAUCCGCAUUAUUAAGAUGUACGCAUGGGAAAAAUCCUUCUCUACCCUGGUAAAUGAAGUUCGACGGAAGGAGAUCUCAAAGAUCAUGAAGAGUUCUUACCUUCGUGGCUUGAACAUGGCCUCCUUCUUUGUGGCCAGCAAGAUCAUUGUGUUUAUCACUUUUUUGGUGUAUGUGAUGCUGGGGAAUGUCAUCUCAGCUGGCCGUGUGUUUGUGGCUGUGUCACUGUAUUCGGCUGUGCGUCUUACAGUCACACUCUUCUUCCCUUCGGCUGUUGAGAAAGUCUCUGAGGCCAAAAUCAGCGUGCGCAGGAUCAAGAAGUUUCUCUUGCUGGAUGAAAUUAUGAAACAUAGUUCUGGUCAGCCAGUACAGCCAACCGAAGAACCCAUGGUUGAAGUCCAGGAUUUAAUCUGCUACUGGGACAAGACAUUAGAUGCCCCAACCCUGCAGAACCUUUCCUUCACAGUGAAGUCUGAGCAACUCCUUGCUGUCAUUGGCCCUGUAGGGGCUGGAAAGUCUUCUUUGCUCAGCUCCAUCCUUGGGGAGCUGCCCCAGGAGAAGGGUGUGGUCAAGGUGAAGGGAAACCUGACUUACGUUUGUCAGCAGCCCUGGGUUUUCCCAGGCACCAUCCGCAGCAACAUCCUGUUUGGCAAGGAGCUCAACCAGCAGAAGUAUGAGAGGGUGUUGAAGGCAUGUGCUCUGAAGCGGGACAUGGAACUGCUGCCAGAUGGGGAUCUAACUGUAAUAGGAGACCGAGGGGCCACCCUAAGUGGGGGCCAGAAGGCCCGCGUCAACCUGGCCAGAGCAGUGUAUCAGGAUGCUGAUAUCUACCUGCUGGACGACCCUCUCAGUGCUGUGGAUGCUGAGGUUGGCAGACACUUGUUUGAGCAGUGCAUCUGUGGCUUGUUGAGAAAGAAGCCACGCAUCCUGGUCACUCACCAGCUCCAGUACCUGAAGGCUGCCCACCAGAUCCUUGUCCUCAAAGAGGGCCAAGCAGUGGCACAGGGUACCUACACCGAGCUACAGCGCUCUGGUCUGGACUUCACGUUGCUGCUGAAGAAAGAGGAGGAAGAUGAGGCACCAGAGCCAGCACCUGGAGUGCCUUGUCGAGUGUCACGGAGUCGCACGCUCUCCCAGACCUCCGUGCAGUCGCAUGCUUCCUCAGUGCACUCUGCUAAGGAUGGGGCUGACCAGCUUCCGCCAGAGCCAGUUCAGCCCAUUGUGGAGGAGACUCGAUCUACAGGAACCAUUGGCAUAUCCCUUUACCUCAAGUACUUCAGAGCAGGAGCCAACAUUUUGGUGCUGCUAACCUUAAUUCUGCUGAAUCUCUUAGCUCAGACAUCAUAUAUCUUACAUGAUUGGUGGCUGGCUUACUGGGCCUCAGAACAGGAACGUUUCAAUGUCACAAAUUACCAAAAUCAAACUCAACAGCUGGAUCUCAACCUUUACCUAGGGGUCUAUGGAGGUCUAACGGUGGCCACCAUCAUCUUUGGCUUUCUGCGCAGCCUGCUGUUCUUCAAUGUGUUGGUGAACUCAGCCCAGACGCUACACAACCGCAUGUUCACCUCCAUCCUCCGGACCCCUGUUCGCUUCUUUGACAUUAACCCUGUUGGAAGAAUUCUGAACAGGUUCUCCAAGGACAUAGGUCAACUGGACUCGAUGUUGCCUUGGACAUUUGUGGACUUCAUACAGGUGUUCCUGCAGAUUCUUGGAGUAAUUGCAGUGGCUGCUUCUGUCAUUCCCUGGAUCCUAAUCCCUGUCAUACCUCUACUCAUUGUCUUCUUGGUGCUUCGCCGCUACUUUCUUCAGACGUCCAGAGACAUCAAACGCUUGGAAUCAACAACACGGAGUCCAGUCUUCUCCCACCUGUCGUCUUCACUACAAGGUCUGUGGACAAUCCGUGCUUUCAAAGCUGAGCAAAGGUUCCAACAAACUUUUGAUGCACACCAAGACCUGCACUCAGAGGCCUGGUUUCUGUUUCUGACCACCUCCCGAUGGUUUGCUGUACGCCUGGAUGGCAUCUGCGCUAUCUUUGUUUCCAUCACAGCCUUUGCCUGCCUUCUCCUUAGGGAUGAUUUGGAAGCAGGCGCAGUCGGCCUUGCCCUCUCCUAUGCUGUCACGCUCAUGGGCAUGUUCCAGUGGGGUGUGCGGCAGAGCGCUGAGGUGGAGAACAUGAUGACUUCUGUGGAGAGAGUUGUGGAAUACACAGAGCUGGAGAGUGAGGCACCAUGGGAGACCGAGAAGAAGCCCCCACCAGACUGGCCUAGGCAUGGGAACAUCACCUUUGACCAGGUCAACUUUGCAUACAACUCGGAUGGGCCCGUGGUCCUAAAGAGCAUGAAUGCUGUGUUCCGAUCCAAAGAGAAGGUUGGCAUUGUGGGCAGGACAGGUGCUGGGAAAAGCUCACUCAUCUCUGCCCUCUUCCGCCUUGCUGAACCUGAGGGGACGAUCCUCAUUGACGGGAUGAAGACUUCUGAAAUUGGUCUCCAUGACCUGCGGCAGAAGAUGUCCAUCAUCCCUCAGGACCCAGUCCUGUUUACUGGCACCAUGAGGAAGAACCUGGACCCCUUCAAUCAGCACACAGAUGAAGACCUGUGGAAUGUGUUGGAUGAGGUGCAGCUGAAGGCUGUGGUGGAGGAGCUGCCCAAUAAGAUGGAGACAGAGCUGGCGGAAUCUGGCUCCAACUUCAGCGUGGGCCAGCGGCAAUUGGUGUGCCUGGCCCGGGCCAUCUUGAGAAAGAACUGUAUUCUUAUCAUUGAUGAAGCCACUGCCAAUGUGGACCCAAGAACCGAUGAACUAAUACAGAAAACCAUACGGGCGAAGUUCAAGGAGUGCACUGUACUCACUAUUGCCCACCGACUCAACACUAUUAUCGACAGCGACCGUAUACUGGUGAGAUUUUACUCUUACAUUUACCUCAUGCUUUUCUCCAAAGCUACUUACAUUAAAGUACUUAACUAUAUACCUGCUUAACUGGGUGGGUAACUUUAGUGGUGCAGUUUUAGAGUAAGUACCAUGCUCAAAGGUGCUACAGCUGGAGACUCGAACCUGCAACCUUUGGGUCUGAAGGCUGUAACCACUAAACUACUAGCUGCCUCUGCUGAAUAACAGACCUAAACCCACAGUGUUUAAAAAAGCUUAUAUUGAUCUGUUAGAGACUUUUGUACUUAACAUACCAGUAUAAGUAUGUAAAUGACUGACUGCAUUGUCAGACAAAUUGGGACUGAUUAUCUUUUUCCCCUUCAGGCAACAUUAAUUUAUAUAUAAUCCUGACACAUCUGGAAUCAGUACUUAACUGCUCUUACAGGAAAGCAGUAUGUAUGUAGCACCAGUGUUCUGACUGUGGUUCAUCCAUGCCUCCCUCUGUUGGUUUACCCUGGAAAUAUCAGUAUUCAUUCCAGUGGAGUUGAGAGCAAUACACACACACACACACACACACACACACACACACAUACCUGCUGCAGGAAGAACAAGAACUGUGUGUGUCAGAGGUGGGGAUUGUCAUUACCUCCCCACCAUCACUAACUCUCUGCUGCCUACUGCACAUGCUGACUUUUACCACCUGGUCAUUAAAUCUGUUUGAGGUCAGUUAUGCAAAACACAGCAGCCUGCCAGUGAAUUGGCCAAACGUAUCGUGUGUUGUUACAAGUAUAAUAAAAAAAUAAAACAUGUAAAAUGAAAAAGCAAGAUGUCCUUUCAUUUAACAUCUGCAAAUGUUUUGAGUUUCCUCUUUGAGUUGUCAGAUGACACCUCUCUUGAAGAAGAUAUGGACCCCCCAUCAAGGUACUGAGCAUGCAAUGUUAAACUAACCUGAAAAGGGGUUAUUACAUUUGAGGUUUUUUUUUUCAAAUUCUAAUUGUAAUAUGAUUUAAUUGGUGCAGUACUGUAAAUGUCCUAUACAUCUUUGAAAGACCAGUUUGCUGACAGAGUGGCGUUAUGGAGCCCUGUGCAGUAAUUGGUUUCCUCUGAGUUUUGUUCUUAAUGUUUUCUCGUCUGGUUGCAUGUGACAGGCAGGCAGGUGUGUGGGCCAACUCGUGCUCUCUGUUUCCAGGCUGGCUGGCUGGUUGGCACAGGGGUCACCCCGCACCACCUGAUCUCUUGCCUCUCCAAGCAGGGGCCUGUGGAGGUGCCAAUUAGUACCAUUUGUGGUGGCGUUAGCUGGGCCAGAACCUGCAAUGCAUCCUACUCGGCACAGGGUUGGGGGUAGGAGUUAGGUCUCUCGCAGCCUCGAGUGUUCCUCACCUCCUCUGGUGUGAAACGCCCCCAGAUUGCUUUUUGGACUGGCUUGCGGUCAUCUGGAUGCUGUCCGAGUUCACACAUCUAAAAUGGGAGCACUUUGGGCUUCAGAACCUGUUUUGGCAUCUGUGCUAGAUGCAGGCAGGAUACAUGAGUACGAUGAGCCUUACGUCUUACUGCAGAUCCAA